UUCCAGACUCCUACGGGAGGCAGCAGUGGGGAAUAUUGCACAAUGGGGGAAACCCUGAUGCAGCGACGCCGCGUGAGCGAAGAAGUACCUCGGUAUGUAAAGCUCUAUCAGCAGGGAAGAAAGUGACAGUACCUGACUAAGAAGCCCCGGCUAACUACGUGCCAGCAGCCGCGGUAAUACGUAGGGGGCAAGCGUUAUCCGGAAUUACUGGGUGUAAAGGGAGCGUAGACGGUGAAGUAAGUCUGGAGUGAAAGGCGGGGGCCCAACCCCCGGACUGCUCUGGAAACUAUUUGACUGGAGUGCAGGAGAGGUAAGCGGAAUUCCUAGUGUAGCGGUGAAAUGCGUAGAUAUUAGGAGGAACACCAGUGGCGAAGGCGGCUUACUGGACUGUAACUGACGUUGAGGCUCGAAAGCGUGGGGAGCAAACAGGAUUAGAUACCCUUGUA
rnacentral:rRNA from 1 species